AAUGCAAAGCGGUCUGAGUCUUUGGGGGAGGGGCAUACGGAGCCAUCCGCUCUCUCUUCAGUGCUGGCUUGUGAUUGGUUUUGCCCUCAAUAUUCGUAAAGACAUGCUCUUGACUUUGUGUCAUGACAGCUUGCUUCAGUCUGGAUUUCUUUCCCUGCUCCACAAACACAUGUCCCUCAGCAGUGAGGUGAGCAUGAGCGUGUAAUUCUGGAAGAUUCUUAGUGGUUUUGGUGUUAUGGACCUCCCUUUUGUUCUUUAUCUAAGAAACCCUCUGCUUAAGAUAAGUAAUUCUGCAUAUGCACUUGAUGUAUAUGCACUCACGCAAAGUAUGUUUCAGUGCAUUCUAACAGAACAGAUUGACAUUCCAGUUUGUGUUUUACCAUAAUCUGGUUCACUCUGGGAAAGGGGAGUAAUCAGUCUAAUCACAGUGCUUUGUCUCAAUAUUUGCAACACACAACCCAAAACAAAAUGGUGUACAUAGAAACUAAAAUUUCAGUGUUAAAUCAACUCUGACAGACCACUUUUGAGUUUUAAAGUAUACUUCCUCUCAACCCCUCUCUUCUCUCAAUCCUAUUGUCACAGUAUACUGUAAUCUCUGUAACCACUCUCCCUCCAUCCCUCACAUUUCUUUCUCCCAGCUAUCUAGUGAUACCGCUGUAUCCAUGCUCUUCUCUAAUCAACACUUCAUUCUCUGUCACCAGACCCGCAAGGCUAUCCUCUCCUAGCUCGUGGCUAUCUGACAUCCUCUGCACUAACAGGACCUCACUAUAGGCUGCAGAGAGAAAAGGCCACAAACCCAGAGACCCUGCUGACCUGUCCAGGCAGGACUCGCUCCUCUGCAUUUUGAUCCUCUGUCACUGUGCUGGUUUAAAAGGUUUACUUUUAUCAGGCCAGAUUAGAGAAUUCAUCCUCUAGCCUACACAGACUGGACUUCAUCUUCUCCUCACUCCUCAACCUCUCUUCUCCUCUCCACCUCCUUCAACCCUCCCUGCAGAUGGCUUCACCAAGUCUUUGAUAGGAUGUCUACCAACAUCCAUAACUCCUUCAUGUUGGCGGAGUCCUCUAACAUGCAACCUUCCCUCCCCGCUCUCUCGAUUCCUUCUAUUCCACCAACCACUUAGCCUGAUAUUGUCACCACACCCCGCCUCCACUCCAUUUCUCCUGACAUCCUUCCAAGCAUUUCCUCUCAUUCCUGCCCACUAGAUGUGUCCCCACAGUUUUCAAAUAAAUUCAUGUCAAAUGCUCACCUGAAGCUAAACUUGACUAAAACUGAGAUGUUAUACUACCAGUUAAUUUCUCUCCUCUUGUUGACCUUUUUCUCCCACCCAGGAGGACACCACAGUGUCACCAUCUUCAUCCGCUAGGAAUCUUUUGAGUGGUACAGCAGCUUAUCCAGAACACUGCAGCUGACCUGGUCUACAAAAUCACCGCGUUGAACCAUCAUUAUAAUGACUCCCUGGACUACCGUUGGCACACCUCCAGUCCCUGUGUUGACAGAUGCCAAUAACAGACUCCAAGGUCAAUCACAAGCCAAGAAUCAGGAGUAGAUACUGAAAGCUCUCUUAUACUUGCACUGACGAAGGAACUGCACACACCUAACUAAUCAGAAACACCCGUGAAGCCAUUUAUUUCAAGCAUGAAUGGUGCCCUGAAAUGUGGGGCUAUGUAUAAAAAGUUCUGUAAUUUCUACAUGGUGAAAGCAUGUCAGCAAUCUGAACUUUAACCACACAUGUAUUGUUUGAUUACAAAACUAAAAUUAUGGCCAAAUCAUGAAAAAAAAAUGUUUUUAUUGUCCCAAACAUUAUGGAGGGCACUGUAUAGUUUAUCCAAGUGGUGCAUUUCCAUAAUAAAGAAAA